AUUGAACGCUGGCGGCAUGCCUUACACAUGCAAGUCGAACGGCAGCACGGGAGCAAUCCUGGUGGCGAGUGGCGAACGGGUGAGUAAUAUAUCGGAACGUGCCCAGUCGUGGGGAUAACGUAGCGAAAGCUACGCUAAUACCGCAUACGAUCUAUGGAUGAAAGCGGGGGAUCGCAAGACCUCGCGCGAUUGGAGCGGCCGAUAUCAGAUUAGGUAGUUGGUGAGGUAAAGGCUCACCAAGCCGACGAUCUGUAGCUGGUCUGAGAGGACGACCAGCCACACUGGGACUGAGACACGGCCCAGACUCCUACGGGAGGCAGCAGUGGGGGAAUUUUGGACAAUGGGCGCAAGCCUGAUCCAGCAAUGCCGCGUGCAGGAUGAAG
rnacentral:rRNA from 1 species